UACAGGGGGGGCAAGCGUUGUUCGGAAUUACUGGGCGUAAAGGGUUCGUAGGUGGCCACCUAAGUCAGACGUGAAAUCCCUCAGCUUAACUGGGGAACUGCGUCUGAUACUGGGUGGCUUGAGUGCAGGAGAGGAAUGCGGAAUUCCCGGUGUAGCGGUGAAAUGCGCAGAUAUCGGGAGGAACACCCGUAGCGAAGGCGGCACUCUGGGCCGUGACUGACGCUGAGGAGCGAAAGCGUGGGGAGCAAACAGG
rnacentral:rRNA from 1 species